AUGAACAGGGACAACUCUUUUGAAGAAAUUUCUGAAAGUGUUAACAUCACUGUGAACAAAGUCAAGUUGCUGGGGAAGGUGCUCUCAGUGGCUCUAGAGAGAGAAAGGACAGAUGAGAUGGAGAAGCGGCUGUUUCACUCACAGGGUGUAAGCCAGAAGUGCAUGCCAGAUGGUAGUGCCAGUGGAAACACCCUGUUGGAAGCUUUGGAUUGUAUCCUGCCACCAACUCAUCCAACUGACAAGUCUCUGCGACUGACCCUCCAGGAUGUCUAUAAAAUUGGUGGUAUUGGGACUGUCCCUGUGGGCCGAGUGGAGACCGAUAUUUUAAAACCUGGCAUGGUGGUGACCUUUGCUUCAGUCAAUGUGACAACAGAAGUAAAGUCUGUUGAAAUGCACCAUGAAGCUUUGAGUGAAGCUCUUCCAGGGGACAAUGUGGGCUUCAAUGUGAAGAGCAUGUCUGUCAAAGACGUUAGAUGUAGCAACGUUGCUGGUGACAGCAAAAAUGACUCACCAAAUGAAGCUGCUGGCUUCACUGCUCAGGUGAUUAUCCUGAACCACCCAGGCCAAAUUAGUGCUAGCUAUGCUCCUGUACUAGACUGUCACACAGUUCACAUAGCAUGCAAGUUUGCUGAGCUUAAAGAAAAGAUUGCUCGUCGUUCUAGCAAGAAGCUGGAAGUUGGUCCUAAAUUCUUGAAACCCGGUGAUGCAGCCAUUGUUGAUAUGGUUCCUGGCAAACCCAUGUGUGUUGAGAGCUUCUCUGACUAUCCUCCCACUGGGUUGUUUUGCUGUUUGUGACAUGAGGCAGACAGUUGCCGUGGACAAGAAGGCUGCUGGAGCUAGCAAGGUCACCAAGUCUGCCCAGAAAGCUCGAAAGGCAAAAUGA